AAAUUGAAGAGUUUGAUCAUGGCUCAGAUUGAACGCUGGCGGCAGGCCUAACACAUGCAAGUCGAACGGUAACAGGAAGCAGCUUGCUGCUUCGCUGACGAGUGGCGGACGGGUGAGUAAUGUCUGGGAAACUGCCUGAUGGAGGGGGAUAACUACUGGAAACGGUGGCUAAUACCGCAUAACGUCGCAAGACCAAAGAGGGGGACCUUCGGGCCUCUUGCCAUCAGAUGUGCCCAGAUGGGAUUAGCUAGUUGGUGAGGUAACGGCUCACCAAGGCGACGAUCCCUAGCUGGUCUGAGAGGAUGACCAGCCACACUGGAACUGAGACACGGUCCAGACUCCUACGGGAGGCAGCAGUGGGGAAUAUUGCACAAUGGGCGCAAGCCUGAUGCAGCCAUGCCGCGUGUAUGAAGAAGGCCUUCGGGUUGUAAAGUACUUUCAGCGGGGAGGAAGGUGUUGUGGUUAAUAACCGCAGCAAUUGACGUUACCCGCAGAAGAAGCACCGGCUAACUCCGUGCCAGCAGCCGCGGUAAUACGGAGGGUGCAAGCGUUAAUCGGAAUUACUGGGCGUAAAGCGCACGCAGGCGGUCUGUCAAGUCGGAUGUGAAAUCCCCGGGCUCAACCUGGGA
rnacentral:rRNA from 1 species